AUGCUCGUGAAGGAUCUGCGGGUACAAGCAGGACGGUAUUUGGCGGUGUGCAGGAGGCCGGGAUUACAAUGAAUUUGAGGAGGAUUUGCUGUGGAUAAUGCAACUUUAACUCGAUUUUUUACUUUUCAUUUUAUUUUACCUUUUAUUGUAUUAGCAUUAACUAUAAUUCAUUUAUUAUUUUUACAUCAAACUGGGUCUAAUAAUCCAUUAGGAUUAAAUUCUAAUGUUGAUAAAAUUCCUUUUCAUCCUUAUUUUAUUUAUAAAGAUAUUAUUGGAUUUAUUAUUUUUAUAUGAAUUUUAAUAGGAUUUAUUUGAAAAUUUAAUUAUUUAUUAAUAGACCCAGAAAACUUCAUUCCUGCUAAUCCCUUAGUUACUCCUGUUCAUAUUCAACCUGAAUGAUAUUUUUUAUUUGCAUAUGCAAUUUUACGAUCAAUUCCUAAUAAAUUAGGAGGAGUAAUUGCAUUAGUUUUAUCAAUUGCAAUUUUAAUAAUCUUUCCAUUUACUCAUAUUAGUAAAUUCCGAGGAUUCCAAUUUUAUCCAUUAAAUCAAAUUUUAUUUUGAAAUAUAGUAAUUAUUGCCUCUCUUUUAACAUGAAUUGGAGCUCGACCUGUAGAAGAUCCUUAUGUAUUAACAGGACAAAUUUUAACAAUUUUAUACUUUUCUUAUUUUAUUAUUAAUCCAAUUUUAUCUAAAUAUUGAGAUAAAUUAUUAAAUUAAAUUAAUAAGCUUUUAUAGCAUAUGUCUUGAAAACAUUAGAAAGAAGUAAAUCCUUCUAUUAAUUUAUUUAAUACUAAAAAUUAUUCAUUAAAAUAAUAAAGACAAAAUAAAAAUUUUUAAACCAAUAAAAAAAAAAUAAAUAAUUUAAAGAUAUAGGUAAAAAUCUCUUUCAAGCUAAAUAUAUUAAUUUAUCAUAACGAAACCGAGGCAAAGUCCCUCGUACUCAAAUAAAUAAAAAAGAAAUUAUAGUUAAUUUUAAAAAAAAUACAAUUCUAUAAAUAUCUCUACCUAAAAAAAUUACUCUAAAUAAUAUUCUUAUAAAUAAAAUUCUUGAAUAUUCUGCUAAAAAAAUUAAAGCAAAUCCCCCUCUUCUAUAUUCUACAUUAAAUCCAGAAACUAAUUCAGAUUCUCCUUCAGCAAAAUCAAAAGGAGUCCGAUUAGUCUCAGCUAAACAUGAAGCAAAUCAAACUAAUCUUAAAGGAAAACAAAAAAUAAUAAACCAUAUAAAUUUUUGAUAUAAAUAAAAAUUUAAAAAAUUAUAAUUCCCAAUUAAAAAAAUAAAUCUUAAUAAAAUUAAUGCUAAACUUACUUCAUAAGAAAUAGUUUGAGCUACUGCUUGUAAACCCCCUAAUAAAGCAUAAUUUGAAUUUGAAGAUCAUCCAGCAACUAUUACAGUAUAAACUCCUAAACUUGUAAUACAUAAAAAAAAUAAAACACCUAAAUUAAAAGAAUAUAAUUUAAUUAAAUUAGGUAUUCUCAUUCAAAUUAAUAAUGAUAAAAAUAAAGAAAAAAUAGGAGAAAAAUAAUAAAAAAUAUAAUUUGACAAUAAAGGAUAAGUUUGUUCCUUAGUAAAUAACUUCACAGCAUCACUAAAAGGCUGCAAUAACCCUAUAAAGCCUACUUCAUUAGGCCCCUUACGAAUUUGAAUAUAUCCUAAAACCUUACGUUCUAAUAAAGUCAAAAAAGCUACUCCUACUAUUACACAAACUACUAAUAAUAAACUUCCAAUUAAUGAUAAUAAAUAAUCUAUAAAAAACAAUACUAUUUAUAAUUAAUUAAAUUAUAUAAAUAAAUUCUAAAUUUACUGCACUAAUCUGCCAAAAUAGUUUUAUUAAAUAUUAAUAUAAUUCAUAAAUUUAAAAUUUAUAUUUUUUAUAUUAGGUCCUUUCGUACUAUAAUAUAAUAAUUUAUUAAAGAUAGAAACCAACCUGGCUUACGCCGGUUUGAACUCAGAUCAUGUAAGAAUUCAAAGGUCGAACCCAAACUUUAAACUUCUACACCUAAAAAUAAUUCUUAAUCCAACAUCGAGGUCGCAAUCUUUUUUGUCGAUAAGAACUCUAAAAAAAAAUUACGCUGUUAUCCCUAAGGUAACUUAAUUUUUUAAUCAAUAAAAUUGGAUCAAAUAUACAUAUAUUAAUGUAAACAAAUAAUAAAAGUUAAUUAAAUUUUAAUACCACCCCAGUAAAUUUUUUUAUUAAACUAUAAAUUUAAUUAUUCUUUUUAACUUAUAAUUAACAAAAAUAAAGAUCUAUAGGGUCUUCUCGUCUUUUAAUUAUAUUUUAACUUUUUAAUUAAAAAAUAAAAUUCUAUAAAAAUUUAAAAAAGACAGUAUAUAUCUCAUUCAACCAUUCAUACAAGCCUUCAAUUAAAAGACUACUGAUUAUGCUACCUUCGCACAGUCAAAAUACUGCGGCCCUUUAAUAUCUAUCAGUGGGCAGGUUAGACUUUAAAUUAAAUACAAAAAGACAUGUUUUUGAUAAACAGGUGAAUAUAUAAUUUGCCGAAUUCCUUAUUUAAACCUCUCAAUUUAAAUAAUUUAUAUAAAUUAAAUAUACUAAUUUUAUCAUAAUUUAUAAAUCAUUAAUAUUAAAAUUUAUAUUUUAAUAAAUAAUUUAAUUUUAUAAUAAAUAAUAAAAAAUUUAAAAUAAAUUAUAACAAAUUUAUUAAUGAUAACUAUUUUUAAGCUUACAUUUAUUAAAUACUUUUUUAAAAUUUAAAAAUUUAUUUUAAAGCCAAUCCCUUAAAAUAUUAAUUUUAUAAAUUAAAAAUAUUAAAUAAAUAAUACUUUUAAUUUAUAAAUCUAAAUUAAAUUUAUUUCUUAAAAAACUAGAUAUAUUUUAAAACGAUUAACAUUUCAUUUCUAAUUAUAUAUUAAAAAUAAUUAUUCCACAAUAACUUUUAUAUAUAAUUAAAUCUUUAAAAUUCGAGAAAAAUUACUAUAAUAAUUAAUUAAUUAAUAAACCCUGAUACACAAGGUACAAUAAAUUAAAUUUUCUUUUAAAAUAAAAAUUUUUCAAACUAUUUCAAUCUUCUUUUACAAUACAAAUAAACUAUUAUUAAAAUUAUUGUUUCUUUAAAAAAUACUAAAACUAUAUUGAAUUAAAAUUAUUUUUAUUAAAUAUAAUACUUAAAUAAAUAAAAUUAAUAAAUAAAAUUUAAUCAAUUUAAAUUGAUUUGCACAAAUUUCUUUUCAAUGUAAAUGAAAUACUUUACUAAUUAAGCUUUAAAUUGUCUUUCUAGAUACACUUUCCAGUACAUCUACUAUGUUACAACUUAUCUUAUUUUAAAAAUAAGAACGAUGGGCGAUAUGUACAUGUUUUAGAGCUAAAAUCAUAUAAAUAAUCUCUUUUAUAUUACUAUUAAAUCCACCUUCAAA